UUAAGCGACUAAGCGUACACGGUGGAUGCCCUGGCAGUCAGAGGCGAUGAAGGACGUGCUAAUCUGCGAUAAGCGUCGGUAAGGUGAUAUGAACCGUUAUAACCGGCGAUUUCCGAAUGGGGAAACCCAGUGUGUUUCGACACACUAUCAUUAACUGAAUCCAUAGGUUAAUGAGGCGAACCGGGGGAACUGAAACAUCUAAGUACCCCGAGGAAAAGAAAUCAACCGAGAUUCCCCCAGUAGCGGCGAGCGAACGGGGAGCAGCCCAGAGCCUGAAUCAGUGUGUGUGUUAGUGGAAGCGUCUGGAAAGGCGCGCGAUACAGGGUGACAGCCCCGUACACAAAAAUGCACAUGCUGUGAGCUCGAUGAGUAGGGCGGGACACGUGGUAUCCUGUCUGAAUAUGGGGGGACCAUCCUCCAAGGCUAAAUACUCCUGACUGACCGAUAGUGAACCAGUACCGUGAGGGAAAGGCGAAAAGAACCCCGGCGAGGGGAGUGAAAAAGAACCUGAAACCGUGUACGUACAAGCAGUGGGAGCACGCUUAGGCGUGUGACUGCGUACCUUUUGUAUAAUGGGUCAGCGACUUAUAUUCUGUAGCAAGGUUAACCGAAUAGGGGAGCCGAAGGGAAACCGAGUCUUAACUGGGCGUUAAGUUGCAGGGUAUAGACCCGAAACCCGGUGAUCUAGCCAUGGGCAGGUUGAAGGUUGGGUAACACUAACUGGAGGACCGAACCGACUAAUGUUGAAAAAUUAGCGGAUGACUUGUGGCUGGGGGUGAAAGGCCAAUCAAACCGGGAGAUAGCUGGUUCUCCCCGAAAGCUAUUUAGGUAGCGCCUCGUGAAUUCAUCUCCGGGGGUAGAGCACUGUUUCGGCAAGGGGGUCAUCCCGACUUACCAACCCGAUGCAAACUGCGAAUACCGGAGAAUGUUAUCACGGGAGACACACGGCGGGUGCUAACGUCCGUCGUGAAGAGGGAAACAACCCAGACCGCCAGCUAAGGUCCCAAAGUCAUGGUUAAGUGGGAAACGAUGUGGGAAGGCCCAGACAGCCAGGAUGUUGGCUUAGAAGCAGCCAUCAUUUAAAGAAAGCGUAAUAGCUCACUGGUCGAGUCGGCCUGCGCGGAAGAUGUAACGGGGCUAAACCAUGCACCGAAGCUGCGGCAGCGACGCUGAUGCGUUGUUGGGUAGGGGAGCGUUCUGUAAGCCUGCGAAGGUGUGCUGUGAGGCAUGCUGGAGGUAUCAGAAGUGCGAAUGCUGACAUAAGUAACGAUAAAGCGGGUGAAAAGCCCGCUCGCCGGAAGACCAAGGGUUCCUGUCCAACGUUAAUCGGGGCAGGGUGAGUCGACCCCUAAGGCGAGGCCGAAAGGCGUAGUCGAUGGGAAACAGGUUAAUAUUCCUGUACUUGGUGUUACUGCGAAGGGGGGACGGAGAAGGCUAUGUUGGCCGGGCGACGGUUGUCCCGGUUUAAGCGUGUAGGCUGGUUUUCCAGGCAAAUCCGGAAAAUCAAGGCUGAGGCGUGAUGACGAGGCACUACGGUGCUGAAGCAACAAAUGCCCUGCUUCCAGGAAAAGCCUCUAAGCAUCAGGUAACAUCAAAUCGUACCCCAAACCGACACAGGUGGUCAGGUAGAGAAUACCAAGGCGCUUGAGAGAACUCGGGUGAAGGAACUAGGCAAAAUGGUGCCGUAACUUCGGGAGAAGGCACGCUGAUAUGUAGGUGAAGUCCCUUGCGGAUGGAGCUGAAAUCAGUCGAAGAUACCAGCUGGCUGCAACUGUUUAUUAAAAACACAGCACUGUGCAAACACGAAAGUGGACGUAUACGGUGUGACGCCUGCCCGGUGCCGGAAGGUUAAUUGAUGGGGUCAGCGCAAGCGAAGCUCUUGAUCGAAGCCCCGGUAAACGGCGGCCGUAACUAUAACGGUCCUAAGGUAGCGAAAUUCCUUGUCGGGUAAGUUCCGACCUGCACGAAUGGCGUAAUGAUGGCCAGGCUGUCUCCACCCGAGACUCAGUGAAAUUGAACUCGCUGUGAAGAUGCAGUGUACCCGCGGCAAGACGGAAAGACCCCGUGAACCUUUACUAUAGCUUGACACUGAACAUUGAGCCUUGAUGUGUAGGAUAGGUGGGAGGCUUUGAAGUGUGGACGCCAGUCUGCAUGGAGCCGACCUUGAAAUACCACCCUUUAAUGUUUGAUGUUCUAACGUUGACCCGUAAUCCGGGUUGCGGACAGUGUCUGGUGGGUAGUUUGACUGGGGCGGUCUCCUCCUAAAGAGUAACGGAGGAGCACGAAGGUUGGCUAAUCCUGGUCGGACAUCAGGAGGUUAGUGCAAUGGCAUAAGCCAGCUUGACUGCGAGCGUGACGGCGCGAGCAGGUGCGAAAGCAGGUCAUAGUGAUCCGGUGGUUCUGAAUGGAAGGGCCAUCGCUCAACGGAUAAAAGGUACUCCGGGGAUAACAGGCUGAUACCGCCCAAGAGUUCAUAUCGACGGCGGUGUUUGGCACCUCGAUGUCGGCUCAUCACAUCCUGGGGCUGAAGUAGGUCCCAAGGGUAUGGCUGUUCGCCAUUUAAAGUGGUACGCGAGCUGGGUUUAGAACGUCGUGAGACAGUUCGGUCCCUAUCUGCCGUGGGCGCUGGAGAACUGAGGGGGGCUGCUCCUAGUACGAGAGGACCGGAGUGGACGCAUCACUGGUGUUCGGGUUGUCAUGCCAAUGGCACUGCCCGGUAGCUAAAUGCGGAAGAGAUAAGUGCUGAAAGCAUCUAAGCACGAAACUUGCCCCGAGAUGAGUUCUCCCUGA
rnacentral:rRNA from 1 species